CUGAGGGGAAACGAAAAGGACAAAAGGAGAGAAGGAGCCAGUGUGGAAACGCUGAAUAUGUAAGUAUGAGCGUGGGUGCACCGAGCGUGUCUCCACAUACAUGUGCAGCGGGAACAGAAGGAAGGGGGUGUGCUCACUUGGAGACAGCAGGGAUGGUUUAUUAGGAGAUCACGCCUCCUAGCCAAUGGUUUUUAAGAGAGAGGCAGAUGUCAUUUGAAUGAGAUGCACCACCUCCCAGAGCCAGCACAUCCUUCAGUGUUUCUCGGCGCUGUGCGAGAGCUCCACUUCCACUGCUCUCUUCGGUCUCCUCUCCUCUCUGAUUCCCUGUCCGUCCGUCCUCCUCUUCCUCUGCGAUUCAGUUCCACAGGGAAGGAUGGGAUCUGUAACUCACACCAACCAGUUUCAUUAACAGUCCAGAGCCGCCCCGUUUGCUCAGGCUGAUGAAAGCAGACCCGGAGGGUCUUUUAGUUAGUGCCUGACAGAAGCAGCAGCCGCAGAGAGGUGCCUGGUGCUACCGGAGGUGUGACAGAGUCCCAGCCCACCGUACAUUGAUUCACACAGGAUUAAGCUACUGCAGAAUGCUGCAGGCGGAAGGCUCGGCGCAGGUGAUUUACCGUCACUGUCAGACUUAACAUCACCGGACACCUCUGCCCUGCUCCCGUCUGCUGUGGAGGGACUACGCAAAACCAUCUGCCACUGCACCACCCAAAGGCAUGACUCACCCUCAUCUCACACAGGAGUAAGAGAGGAAGCGAUGGGCUGGACUAUGAUUCUAAAAAAUGACUUUGGGGUCAUCGCCUGGACUCGGCACACUGCAAAGUUGGUCAGCCUCUUCCUCCUCUUGUCUCUUUUUACUAUUCCAAUCCCUUCAACAGACACAGUUCUACCCAGGGACCAGCAUUUCUCAUGGAAAGCAGGUUCACUUGAAAAUGCAUUUGCAAAGCAGUUUGAAGAAGAAAACUUGGGCUCCCCACACAAAGGCCCCGCUUGCUGUGUGAUUAGCACUUUCAUUUCUCACUCUGUGGUUGGGUAAUGACACUGCCCAAGUGAUAAAGAGAUUGAUUAAUUUCACUUGAAAGAGCUCAUGUUCGGAGGGAUUGGAACCGGGACACCAAGGGUGAGGAUUUGACAUCCUUGCAGAGCUAAGAUGGCGUGGAAGUUGUUUCUGUACUGGAGAAGAAAAUCAAUUUGGAAACAAAAAGGAAGUCUCAAAUUUAAACACGAUAAUCAUCUUUACUCCAGUACGCCUGCAAGGAAAGUGUUGUAAUACACCAACCAUCUCAACAUUUUUUAAUUUAAAUCUGGGGGGAGGGGGGGGGUAUAUUGCAUCUUGUCUGUAUCAAAGUUUGUUCUUUCAACUGGAC
rnacentral:lncRNA from 1 species